rnacentral:rRNA from 1 species
UACGGAGGGAGCUAGCGUUAUUCGGAAUUACUGGGCGUAAAGCGCACGUAGGCGGCUUUGUAAGUAAGAGGUGAAAGCCCAGAGCUCAACUCUGGAAUUGCCUUUUAGACUGCAUCGCUUGAAUCAUGGAGAGGUCAGUGGAAUUCCGAGUGUAGAGGUGAAAUUCGUAGAUAUUUGGAAGAACACCAGUGGCGAAGGCGGCUGACUGGACAUGUAUUGACGCUGAGGUGCGAAAGCGUGGGGAGCAAACAGG